rnacentral:lncRNA from 1 species
GGGGGGGGGGGGGGGGGGGGGCCGGGCGCGGUGACGCGCGCCGUUCCCAUGGCGACCGCGGACGCCGCCGGCCCCGCGCGGGGCGGCGCCAGGCGGGCGGGGCCGGGAAGGGCGGGGGCUCCGGCACCCGGAAUGUGCGGGAGCGGGGCGAGCAGCCGCUCUCCGUGCCAAUGGCCCUGCUUUAGAGCGCUGGGAACCCUCUCUGGAGCGCCUUGGCACGCUCCUGAAGUGUUAAUGAUAAUUUCUACAGUAUCAUCUUUGCUAAUACCUCCAUUCAUGUUUUUAUCCUGGAGAAAGAGAGGAAAAUUGAAGAGGAUAUGUCACCAAUGUGGCAGUAAAAGCACAGACUGA